rnacentral:lncRNA from 1 species
AAGCAAGCUUAAUCAAAUUCAAAAAAACUUCAAAGAAAUUUCAAGCCAAUAAUAAGAAUUCUUAAAAAAAUAUUAGAAUGAUCACAAAUAUCACUCAAAUACAUCUCAACUCAAUCUUUAUUUAAUUCUAAUCAAAAUCCUAUUGAAUUCCAUUCAAACUUUAGGCCAAAACUAAUUAAAUCUUAAAUCGUAAUAAAAUCCUAAACCCUAAAUCCUAAAUCAAAUCCUAACCAAAUCCAAAACCUUAAACCAAACCCUAAUCAAACCUUUAUCAAAUCUUAAACCUUAAACCAAUUCCUAAUCAAAUCCUAAACCAAACCCUAAAUCCUAAUCCAAAUUCUAAUCCAAAUCCUAAAUCCUAAAUCAAAUCCUAAAUCAAAUCCUAAAUCCUAAAUCAAAUCCUAAUCAAACCUUAAAUCAAAUCUUAAAUCCUAACCAAACCCUAAUCAAAUCCUAAUCUAAAUCCUAAACCA